AAAUUGAAGAGUUUGAUCAUGGCUCAGAUUGAACGCUGGCGGCAGGCCUAACACAUGCAAGUCGAACGGUAACAGGAAGAAGCUUGCUUCUUUGCUGACGAGUGGCGGACGGGUGAGUAAUGUCUGGGAAACUGCCUGAUGGAGGGGGAUAACUACUGGAAACGGUAGCUAAUACCGCAUAACGUCGCAAGACCAAAGAGGGGGACCUUCGGGCCUCUUGCCAUCGGAUGUGCCCAGAUGGGAUUAGCUUGUUGGUGGGGUAACGGCUCACCAAGGCGACGAUCCCUAGCUGGUCUGAGAG
rnacentral:rRNA from 1 species